rnacentral:rRNA from 1 species
AACGAACGCUGGCGGCGUGCCUAACACAUGCAAGUCGAGCGCGAAUGGAGCAAUCCUAGUAGAGCGGCGCACGGGUGCGUAACACGUGGAUAAUCUGCCUGGGUGUCUGGGAUAACCAGUCGAAAGACUGGCUAAUACCGGAUAAGACCACGGUCUCUUCGGAGGCUGUGAGAAAAGGUGGCCUCUGUAUACAAGCUAUCACAUCCAGAUGAGCCGCGGCCCAUCAGCUAGUUGGCGGGGUAAUGGCCCACCAAGGCGACGACGGGUAGCUGGUCUGAGAGGACGAUCAGCCACACUGGAACUGAGACACGGUCCAGACUCCUACGGGAGGCAGCAGUGGGGAAUUUUGCGCAAUGGGCGAAAGCCUGACGCAGCAACGCCGCGUGUGUGAUGAA